GGCAAUAACAAGCCUCACCCUCAGCAGCAUGUGCAGCUACACUUGGCUUCAAAGCUCAACGCCACCACCACCGCCAUCACCACCACCUCGGCUGAGUGUUUGUUGCUAUUCUUCUACUCAGCUCUCUGUUCACAAAACCUUGACACACAUUCACAGUUCUAGUGUCAUAGCUUGCCUUCGUGCCAACAGCUGGAGAUUGUGAUGUCUACCCCAGGUUUGUUUAAGGUUCUUCAACAACUAGUGCAGGAGCAUCCUACUACAACCUUAGGAGUAAUUCUUGUUAGGUUCUA